UACGGGGGGAGCAAGCGUUGUUCGGAUUUACUGGGCGUAAAGGGCGCGUAGGCGGCCUGUGCAAGUCAGUUGUGAAAUCUCCGGGCUUAACUCGGAACGGUCAACUGAUACUGCUCGGCUAGAGUGCGGAAGGGGCAACUGGAAUUCUUGGUGUAGCGGUGAAAUGCGUAGAUAUCGGGAGGAACACCUGUGGCGAAGGCAGCCCCCUGGGACAGGA
rnacentral:rRNA from 1 species